rnacentral:misc_RNA from 1 species
GAUGAAGAACGUAGUGAAAUGCGAUAAGUAGUGUGAAUUGCAGAAUUCAGUGAAUCAUCGAAUCUUUGAACGCACAUUGCGCCUUUUGGUAUUCCGAAAGGCACACCUGUUUGAGCGUCAUGAAUACCUCAAUCUCCAUCUUUUCUUCGGAUUGAUGGGUGACUUGGAUGUUGAGCCCUGCUGGUAUGCUAUAUCAGCUGGCUUUAAACUUAUUAGCCGGCUCUGUACUGGAUCGGUUUGACUCGACGUGAUAAUAUUAUCGUUGAGGAUGCAUGUCUCAUGCAGCCGGAAAGUAUCAAAGCAGCUUCUAGCUUGCCUUUAGUGCACUUUUACAUUUUAGACCUCAGAUCAGGUGGGACUACCCGCUGAACUUAAGCAUAUCAAUAAGCGGAGGA